AUUGAACGCUGGCGGUAGGCCUAACACAUGCAAGUCGAGCGGAGCGGCGGACGGGUGACUAAUGCCUAGGAAUCUGCCUGGUAGUGGGGGAUAACGUCCGGAGACGGGCGCUAAUACCGCAUACUAUCAGAUGAGCCUAGGUCGGAUUCGCUAGUUGGUGGGGUAAAUGCCUACCAGGGCGACGAUCCGUAACUGGUCUGUGAGUAUGAUCAGUCACACUGGAACGUAGACACGGUCCAUCCUCCUAAGGGAGGCAGCAGUGGGUAAUAUUGCACAAUGGGCGAAAGCCUGAUCAAGCCAUGCAGAGUGUGUGAAGAAGGUCUUCGGAAUGUAAAGCACUUUAGGUUGGGAGGCUUUAACAACAGAAUAAGCACCGGCUAACUUCGUGCCAGCAACCGCGGUAAUAA
rnacentral:rRNA from 1 species